rnacentral:rRNA from 1 species
CUGGAGGUAUCAGAAGUGCGAAUGCUGACAUAAGUAACGAUAAAGCGGGUGAAAAGCCCGCUCGCCGGAAGACCAAGGGUUCCUGUCCAACGUUAAUCGGGGCAGGGUGAGUCGACCCCUAAGGCGAGGCCGAAAGGCGUAGUCGAUGGGAAACGGGUUAAUAUUCCCGUACUUGGUGUUACUGCGAAGGGGGGACGGAGAAGGCUAUGUUGGCCGGGCGACGGUUGUCCCGGUUUAAGCGUGUAGGUGUGUGUUCCAGGUAAAUCCGGUUCACUUUAACACUGAGGCGUGACGACGAGGCACUACGGUGCUGAAGCAACAAAUGCCCUGCUUCCAGGAAAAGCCUCUAAGCAUCAGGUAACAUCAAAUCGUACCCCAAACCGACACAGGUGGUCAGGUAGAGAAUACCAAGGCGCUUGAGAGAACUCGGGUGAAGGAACUAGGCAAAAUGGUGCCGUAACUUCGGGAGAAGGCACGCUGACACGUAGGUGAAGUGAUUUACUCAUGGAGCUGAAGUCAGUCGAAGAUACCAGCUGGCUGCAACUGUUUAUUAAAAACACAGCACUGUGCAAACACGAAAGUGGACGUAUACGGUGUGACGCCUGCCCGGUGCCGGAAGGUUAAUUGAUGGGGUCAGCGCAAGCGAAGCUCCUGAUCGAAGCCCCGGUAAACGGCGGCCGUAACUAUAACGGUCCUAAGGUAGCGAAAUUCCUUGUCGGGUAAGUUCCGACCUGCACGAAUGGCGUAAUGAUGGCCAGGCUGUCUCCACCCGAGACUCAGUGAAAUUGAACUCGCUGUGAAGAUGCAGUGUACCCGCGGCAAGACGGAAAGACCCCGUGAACCUUUACUAUAGCUUGACACUGAACAUUGAGCCUUGAUGUGUAGGAUAGGUGGGAGGCUUUGAAGUGUGGACGCCAGUCUGCAUGGAGCCGACCUUGAAAUACCACCCUUUAAUGUUUGAUGUUCUAACGUGGACCCGUGAUCCGGGUUGCGGACAGUGUCUGGUGGGUAGUUUGACUGGGGCGGUCUCCUCCUAAAGAGUAACGGAGGAGCACGAAGGUUGGCUAAUCCUGGUCGGACAUCAGGAGGUUAGUGCAAUGGCAUAAGCCAGCUUGACUGCGAGCGUGACGGCGCGAGCAGGUGCGAAAGCAGGUCAUAGUGAUCCGGUGGUUCUGAAUGGAAGGGCCAUCGCUCAACGGAUAAAAGGUACUCCGGGGAUAACAGGCUGAUACCGCCCAAGAGUUCAUAUCGACGGCGGUGUUUGGCACCUCGAUGUCGGCUCAUCACAUCCUGGGGCUGAAGUAGGUCCCAAGGGUAUGGCUGUUCGCCAUUUAAAGUGGUACGCGAGCUGGGUUUAGAACGUCGUGAGACAGUUCGGUCCCUAUCUGCCGUGGGCGCUGGAGAACUGAGGGGGGCUGCUCCUAGUACGAGAGGACCGG